UACGAAGGGGGCUAGCGUUACUCGGAUUUACUGGGCGUAAAGCGCACGUAGGCGGAUCGUUAAGUCGGGGGUGAAAUCCUGGAGCUCAACUCCAGAACUGCCUUCGAUACUGGCGAUCUCGAGUCCGGAAGAGGUGAGUGGAACUCCUAGUGUAGAGGUGGAAUUCGUAGAUAUUAGGAAGAACACCAGUGGCGAAGGCGACUCACUGGUCCGGUACUGACGCUGAGGUGCGAAAGCGUGGGGAGCAAACAGG
rnacentral:rRNA from 1 species